CGCUGGCGGCGUGCCUAAUACAUGCAAGUCGAACGAUCUUUCUAUGGAAGCUUGCUUCCACUGAGAAGAUAGUGGCGAACGGGUGAGUAACACGUGGGUAACCUGCCCAUAAGAGGGGGAUAACAUCCGGAAACGGGUGCUAAUACCGCAUAGUUUUCUUGAUCGCAUGAUCGGGAAAGGAAAGACGGCCUUUGUGCUGUCGCUUAUGGAUGGACCCGCGGCGUAUUAGUUAGUUGGUGAGGUAACGGCUCACCAAGACGAUGAUACGUAGCCGACCUGAGAGGGUGAUCGGCCACAUUGGGACUGAGACACGGCCCAAACUCCUACGGGAGGCAGCAGUAGGGAAUCUUCCGCAAUGGACGAAAGUCUGACGGAGCAACGCCGCGUGAGUGAAAGAAGGUUUUCGGAUCGUAAAACUCUGUUGUCAGAGAAGAACAAGUUGGAGAGUAACUGCUCCAGCCUUGACGGUAUCUGACCAGAAAGCCACGGCUAACUACGUGCCAGCCGCCGC
rnacentral:rRNA from 1 species